UAGACAAGAACUGCCUAAUUGAAACACGCCCUGGGACGCGUACACACCGCCCGUCACCCUCCUCAACUAAAAACACUUUCAUAUAUAAAACUAGACUACUACCACAGAUGAGGCAAGUCGUAACAUGGUAAGCGCACCGGAAGGUGAGCUUGGCACACCU
rnacentral:rRNA from 1 species